UACGAAGGUGGCGAGCGUUAUCCGGAUUUACUGGGUGUAAAGGGCGCGUAGGCGGAGUUGCAAGUCAGGUGUGAAAUCUAGGGGCUCAACCCCUAAACUGCACUUGAAACUGCAACCCUUGAGUGUCGGAGAGGUUGACGGAACUCCUAGUGUAGCGGUGAAAUGCGUAGAUAUUAGGAGGAACACCAGUGGCGAAGGCGGUCAACUGGACGAUAACUGACGCUGAGGCGCGAAAGCGUGGGGAGCAAAC
rnacentral:rRNA from 1 species